GACGUAGGGCGCGAGCGUUGUCCGGAAUUACUGGGCGUAAAGGGCGCGUAGGCGGGAUGGCAAGUCGGUCGUGAAAUCCCUCGGCUCAACCGAGGAACGUCGAUCGAUACUGCUGUUCUUGAGGAUUGCAGAGGAGACUGGAAUUCCCGGUGUAGCGGUGAAAUGUGUAGAGAUCGGGAGGAACACCGGUGGCGAAGGCGGGUCUCUGGGCAAUUCCUGACGCUGAGGCGCGAAAGCGUGGGGAGCAAACGGG
rnacentral:rRNA from 1 species